rnacentral:lncRNA from 1 species
UCAAAAAGUCCAAUAUACAUACAUUAUUCGACCUUUUGAAUACGCGUCAAGAAGACCUUAUGAAAAUUGAACACUUUCGCAUAGAGGAUGUAAAGCAGAUAAUGAGUAUUCUAGAAAAGAAAUAGAAAAGCAUUUCACAAUUGAUUUACCGAAAAAAAAAAAAACGAGAAAAUUGAAAUGGCUUUGCACCUUUAGACCCGUCUAUAUAUUCAGACCGGAAUUAAAUUGAAUAGAAGUAUCUAGGGAGAAUUCACUUUUACUUUGAAGUGACUACUCCCUAGAUACACACGUCAUGAUAUUUUACAAUUGAAUCAAUUUAAAAAAGACCUAAAGUUAGGGAUUUUUCAAUAGGUAAUGUUGCUCCAAUACCCAAGCACAAGGCCACUGCGGUCCCAAUCAAAAAGACGGUUGUCGCUACGGGACGGCGAAAUGGAUUUUGGAAUUUAUUAACAUUUUCCAAAAAAGGUACUGUUAAUAAUCCCGUAGGUACUGAAACCAUUAAAAGAACACCCAACAGCUUAUUGGGUACUGUACGAAGUAUUUGAAAUACGGGAAAGAAAUACCAUUCGGGUAAGAUUUCCAAAGGAGUUGCAAAUGGAUCCGCGGGUUCACCAAUCAUUGAUGGUUCUAGAACCGCUAAGCCUACGGUACAUGCAAUAGUACCUAGAAUUACUACUGGAAAAAUAUAUAAAAGAUCGUUGGGCCAUGCGGGUUCUCCAUAAUAAUUAUGACCCAUACCCUUAGCCAACUUAGCCCUUAAUACAGGAUCAUUCAAGUCAGGUUUUUUUGUUAUUGGGAUAGGCGAAUUCUUAUAGAUCCAUCCCCCCAAAGAACCGGACAUGAUAAUUUUUCAUCAUCCGGCUCGAGCAAGAAUCAACCAAACUAAAAGGAUACAUAUAAAAAAAGAAAUAGAUAAAAAAGAAAUAUAGAUUUUCGAAAAUCUAUAUAUUUACGCAUAUCGGGAUGAUCUAUAUGUAAAAUACCGAUUCCGUUUUACGAAGUUUCAACUACAUUGCAAGGAAUUCGGUUCUUACAGGUGUAUGCUCCAUACCCAAGUAGGCUUACAAAAUUGAUCAUGAUCAAGAGCUUUCUGGUCGUCUCAGCCUUGUGAUUCACCUUAUCCAAAAACAAAAAAAAAAAAAAAGAUCGAGCUGAGAUUUUUCUUUUUCGCGUACAAAGGAUUUACUUGUUACUAAUAUAGUCUAGCCGCUGCUCUUCUUUAGACCCUUGUUUCACUCCGAUAGUAUCAUAAAUCGGGAUCGGUGCAGAAAAAUGAAUGCAUUUCCAUACUAUUAAGUAAGUAAUCUAGAAUCUAGCGAAAACAUAAUCUAGAUUAUGCCACAUCGCUUAUUCUACUGGAUCUUACGGAGCCUGCUCAUGCGCGGCAUGCUUGGGCUGAUCAUAGAAAGAUUCUUUUCAAUCGAACAACCUAUCCUCUCUAUGGGGUGCCGGUGGAACAAAGACACAUUUGGUCGCGAAUUCCAAUGUAGCAGAUUAAAGACAUAUUUCUGCACGGCCCAAUCAAUAGUUCAAGUCACACACUCCCAUAAUCAUUUUCUCUUCGGAAAUUCCCGUCAACUAUUCAUUUCAUUCAUUCAAAUAAAAGUCCAAUAUUAUGGAGUUGAGGGAAAUUUCCAACUCCAUGUCUUAUUCUUUGUCAAUAAUCCAUAUUGUAGCAAUGAAAUAUUAUUGUCCUCCCCAAGCAAUAAGAUAAAGGGUUGAUUACAAAUCGCUAUAAUCAGAUUUUGUAUAAUUUUAUAAGGGCCGAAAAUACCUUGUUUACGUAUCAUUAGAAAUGCAUUAACAUAAAUACGGCAGUAAGAAAGGUAAUAAAAAGUGUGAAACUAUAAAACGGAGUCAAAGUGGACUGUCCACACUAGCAUUUCCGCGUAAUAAUCUACAAAGGCGAUCCUAUUACGGAAUUGACUUGGUUAAGGUGUGGUUCUGGCGUAUGACCGCAUCUUUUGGUGUAACAGGUUAUUCUUUACCUUGGGACAAAUUGGAUAUUGGGCCAGUAAAAAUUGUAACAGGCGUGCCGAAGCAAUUCCGGUAAUAGGAUCGCCUUGGUAGAGUUAUUACGCGGAAGUGCUAGUGUGGGACAGUCCACUUGACUCGGUUUUAUAGUUUACACACUUUUGUAUUACCUCUUCUUACUGCCGUAUUUAUGUUAAUGCAUUUUCCUAAUGAUACGUAAACAAGGUUAUUCUGGCCCUUUAUAAAAUUAUACAAAAUCUAGAUUAUAGCGAUUUGUAAUCAACCCUUUAUCUUAUUGCUUGGGGGAGGAACAAUAAUAUUUCAUUGCUACAAAUAUGGAUUAUUGACAAAGAAUAAGACAUGGAGUUGGAAAAUUUCCCCUCAACUCCAUAAUAUUGGACUUUUAUUUGACAUGAAUGAAAUGAAUAGUUGACGGGAAUUCUCCGAAGAGAAAAUGGAUUAUGGAGUGUGUGACUGAACUAUGAUUGGGCCGUGCAGAAAUAUGUCUUUAAUCUGCUACAUUGGAAUUCGCGACCAAAUGUGUCUUUGUUCCAACCGGCACCCCAUAGAGAGGAUAGGUUGGUUCGAUUGAAAAGAAUCUUUUCUAUGAUCAGCCCCAAGCAUGCCGCGCAUGAGCAGGCUCCGUAAGAUCCAGUAGAAUAAGCGAUGUGGCAUAAUCUAGAUUAUGUUUCGCUAGAUUCUAGAUUACUUACUUAAUAGUAUGGAAAUGCAUUCAUUUCUUCUGCACCGAUCCGAUUUAUGAUACUAUCGGAGUGAAACAAGGGGUUAAAGAAGAGCAGCGCUAGACUAUAUUAGUAACAAGUAAUCUUUGUACGCGAAAAAAGAAAAAUCUCAGCUCGAUCUUUUUUUUUUUUUGUUUUUGGAUAAGGGUGAAUCACAAGGGCUGAGACGACCCAGAAAGCUCUUGAUCAUGAUCAAUUUUGUAAGCCUACUUGGGUAUGGAGCAUACACCUGUAAGAACCGAAUUCCUUGCAAUUGAUAGUUGAAACUUCGUAAAACGGAAUCCGGUAAUUUUACAUAUAAAUCAUCCGAUAUGCGUAAAAUAUAGAUUUUCGAAAUCUAUAUUUCUUUUUUUAUCUAUUUCUUUUUUUAUAUGUAUCCUUUUAGUUUGGUUGAUUCUUGCUCGAGCCGGAUGAUGAAAAUUAUCAUGUCGGUUCUUUGGGGGAUGGAUCUAUAAGAAUUCGCCUAUCCCAAUAACAAAAAAACCUGACUUGAAUGAUCCUGUAUUAAGGGCUAAGUUGGCUAAGGGUAUGGGUCAUAAUUAUUAUGGAGAACCCGCAUGGCCAACGAUCUUUUAUAUAUUUUCCAGUAGUAAUUCUAGGUACUAUUGCAUGUACCGUAGGCUUAGCGGUUCUAGAACCAUCAAUGAUUGGUGAACCCGCGGAUCCAUUUGCAACUCCUUUGGAAAUCUUACCCGAAUGGUAUUUCUUUCCCGUAUUUCAAAUACUUCGUACAGUACCCAAUAAGCUGUUGGGUGUUCUUUUAAUGUUUCAGUACCUACGGGAUUAUUAACAGUAACCUUUUUUGGAAAAUGUUAAUAAAUUCCAAAAUCCAUUUCGCCGUCCCGUAGCGACAACCGUCUUUUUGAUUGGGACCGCAGUGGCCUUGUGCUUGGGUAUUGGAGCAACAUUACCUAUUGAAAAAUCCCUAACUUUAGGUCUUUUUUAAAUUGAUUCAAUUGUAAAAUAUCAUGACGUGUGUAUCUAGGAGUAGUCACUUCAAAGUAAAAGUGAAUUCUCCCUAGAUACUUCUAUUCAAUUUAAUUCCGGUCUGAAUAUAUAGACGGGUCUAAAGGUGCAAAGCCAUUUCAAUUUUUCUCGUUUUUUUUUUUUUUCGGUAAAUCAAUUGUGAAAUGCUUUUCUAUUUCUUUUCUAGAAUACUCAUUAUCUGCUUUACAUCCUCUAUGCGAAAGUGUUCAAUUUUCAUAAGGUCUUCUUGACGCGUAUUCAAAAGGUCGAAUAAUGUAUGUAUAUUGGACUUUUUGAGACAAUUAUAGAUCCUGGGAGACAUUUCUGAUUGGUCAAUAAAAAUCGAUUUCAAUGCGAUUUCUUUUUUCUUUUUCGUUAGUUUAGCCAAUCUAUCAUGAAAAGUAAAAAAGGGUAAAGUAACCUUGUAUUGAUUGUUCUCUAAAGGUAAGUUUUCGUCUUCUGCCUGGAGAAAGGGAAUAAAUAAAUCAAUCAAACUCCGGAGGCUUCAUGAAGUGCUUCUUUAGGAGUUAAACUUCCGUUUGUCCAUAUUUCUAGAAAAAGGAUCUCUUGUUUUUCAUUGCCAUUCCCAUAAGACUGAAUACUAUGAUUCGCAUUUCGAACAGGCAUGAAUACAGCAUCGAUAGGAUAACAAUUUCCGUCUUGAAAGGUAUUUGGCGUUUUUAUAUUAUAUCCUCGACUCCUCUCGAUUUGUAAUCCAAUAGACAAAUCAAUUGGUUCUGUUAGGCUAGCUAUGUGCUGCGUAUUAUCAACGAUUUCCACAGAAGGCGGCAAGAGGAUGUCUUGAGCAGUUACAUAUCCCGGGCCUUUGACACAAAUAAGCGCGUCACAAGUUCCAUAAAGAUUACUUCUCAAUACAAUAUCUUUCAAAUUCAUUAAAAUUUCAUGUACCGAUUCUUGAAUACCCACUAUGGUAGAAUAUUCGUGUGGAAUUUUUUCAGAUUUUGCGCGUGUAAUACAUGUUCCUUCUAUUUCUCCAAGCAAAACUCUUCGCAUCGCAAUGCCUAUUGUGUCGGCUUGACCUUUCAUAAGUGGAGACAAAAUAAAGCGCCCAUAAUAAAGACGCUUACUGUCUGCUCUUGAUUCAACACACUUCCACUGUAGUGUCCGAGUAGAUACUUUUACUUUCUCUCGAACCAUAGUAAUAUUAUUUGUCAGAUCAUUGAGUCAUUUAUUUCUCUUGAAAUCUCUUCAAUGUUUAUUUCUACACCCGUCUUUUUUUAGGGGGUCUGCAACCAUUGUGUGGCAUAGGGGUUACAUCCCGUACGAAAUUUAAAAGGAUACCGCUUCUACGAAUAGCUCGUAAUGCCGCAUCUCUUCCGAGACCAGGACCCUUUAUCAUGACUUCUGCUCGUUGCAUACCUUGAUCCGCUACUGCUCGAAUAGCAUUUCCUGCUGCGGUUUGAGCAGCAAAAGGCGUACCUCUUCUUGUACCCCUGAAUCCACAAAGUACCGGCCGAGGACCAAGAAAUUACCCGACCCCGGACAUCUGUAACAGUCACAAUGGUGUUGUUGAAACUUGCUUGAACAUGAAUAACGCCCUUUGGUAUUCGACGUCCACUUUUACGUGAACCGAUCCGUCCCGGCCUACGUGAACCACUUCGUUGGUGGAGAUUUUGCCAUAUUUGAUCAUUUCAUAAAUAUAAGUCAGAGAUAUAUGGAUAUAUCCAUUUCAUGUCAAAACCGAUCUUUUAUGUUGAUUUGUUCAUCGGUUACUUUCUAAACUUUUCGAAAGAUUAUCCUUGUCUUUGUUUAUGUCUCGGGUUGGAACAAAUUACUAUAAUCCGUCCCCUCCUGCGGAUCAGUCGACAUUUUUCACAAAUUUUACGAACUGAAGCCCUUAUUUUCAUAAUUGUUAUUCCUUAAAUGAAUUUCGAAUCUCCUUAUUGGAAGUUGGAAGAAAAUAAGUUUCUUGAAAUUUUUGAACCGCGAUUUGUAUCCCCCUGAAAGGAAUGUUGAAAAAUCACCUAAUCACUCAAAUCCUUUUGUGUAGUCUAUAUAUUAUUAUUAUAUCCUCCAGUUGAAUCUGAAUCAUAACGACUUCCUUCAAUUUUGCCUCUAGCCACCGGGAGUAGAUGUAGAAAAACGGGUCGCAUCCCUCCUGAAACAUAAUCUAGAAUCUUACUUCGCUCUCUAAACUAUCUAAAAGAACCCGGAGCAUACCUUUGGUAAGUUAUUCGGUAAUUAAACCUCGAGGAAUCCUCCCUUUUUUUUUCUCACAACAUAAAAGUAAGCUCCAAAUACAAUUCGGAUAGCAGAAUAAUUACCAUAUAUAACACAAAAUUUCUCCACCGAUUCUUUCCAGUCGAGCCGCUCGGUCUGUCAUUAUACCCCGAGAAGUAGAGAGAAUUACAAUCCCCAUCCCAUCUAAAAUUCUAGGAAUUCGUCGAUAGUUAAAAUAGAUUCGUAGACCGGGUCGACUGAUUCGUUUUAAAUUUAAAAUGGGUCUAUACGGCCCUUUCCUAUUCCUUCGAUGUCGUAGGGUUAAAACCAAAAACUCUUUUUUUGUUUUUGUUUUCCACGAGUUUCCUUGCGUUUUCGAUAAAACCCUCUCGCAAAAGGAUUUUAACAACGUUUUCGGUGAUGUUAGUAGAUGCUAUUCGAACCGUUCCCUUUCUAUUCAUGUCAGCAUUUCGUAUAGAAGUUAUUAUGUCAGCAAUAGUGUCCUUGCCCAUGAUAAACUGAAAAUUUUGUUGCUUCCAAAUUUUGAUAUAAUCAACAUGUUCUUUUUUUUAUGAAAAUUAUUAAAAGUAUAUGCGUGAGACAUACUCUACUAAAUUUUGAUUUAUCUAUUUUAUUUUUCAUACUAUCACUAUAUCGCGGUCCCCUCUUAUAAUACUUCAGGUGCUAAUGAAACUAUUUUAGUAAAAUUCAACUGUCUCAAUUCCCGGGGCGAUCGCACCAAAAACUCGAGUUCCCUUUGGAUUUCCUUCGUGAUCAAUGACAACUGCAGCAUUGUCAUCGUACCGUAUUAUCAUACCGUUAUCACGUCUGAGUUCUUUACAAGUACGUACAAUUACAGCUCUGAUCACUUCUGAUCUUUCUAGAGGCGUAUUGGGUACUGCUUCCUUGAUCACAGCAAACAAUAACGUCACCAAUAUGAGCAUAUCUACGAUUACUGGCUCCUAUGAUUCGAAUACACAUCAAUUCUCGGGCACCGCUAUUGUCUGCUACAUUCAAAUGGGUUUGAGGUUGAAUCAUAUCGUUUUUUUGAGUCCGUUUUUUUAAUGUUUAAUUUAAAGUAAAGCACUGAAAGGACGAAGUAAAAAAAAAAAGGGAAGACCCGCAUUUUUUAUACCCAAGAUUUAUUUCCUUUGUUUCGACAUUCCUAUCCCGAAAUAAUGAAUUGAGUUCUUAUAGGCAUUUUGGACGCCGCUAUUGAAAUAGCCUUUCGAGCUAUAUUUUCAGCUACUCCACUCAUUUCAUAAAGUAUUCUACCCGGUUUAACGACGCUACCCAAUAUUCGGGGGAUCCUUUACCGGACCCCAUACGGGUUUCGUGGGUCUUAGUGUAACGGGUUUGUCUGGAAAGAUACGUACCCAUAUUUUUCCACCGCGCCGUACAUUUCGUGUCAUUGCGCGGCGCCCCGCUUCGAUUUGUCUAGAUGUGAUCCAAGCGGUUCAAGUGCUUGAAGAGCAUAUCUGCCGAAACAAAUAUGAUUACCUCGAUAAGAUUAUCCCUUUCAUUCUUCCUCUAUGUUGUUUACGGAAUCUUGUUCUUUUGGGGUUAUAAUUGAUGGUUCUUCUCAAUGCCAUCUCUACUACAGAACUGGACAUGAGAGUUUCUUCUCAUCCAGCUCCUCGCGAAUGAAAGGACUAAAACGAUUUUAUCAAGAUAUAGGGGGAAUUUAAUGAAUAAUAUACUGAAGCAUAGGAUUUUUUGAAAGUUCAUCUAAUUAAUCUAUUCUAAAUUUGUAUAUCAUGUUAGAUAUAGAAUUGAAACAUUUAUGUUCUAUUUAUAGAUAAUCUCAAUGUCUUUUUUUUUUUUUAUCGUUAUAAACAAAUCUUUAUUUUGUUUUGCCCUUUACCAUAUCGGAUCGAGCAAAAUGAAUCAAUCCAAUAAAAUCAAAAAAUAAACCUUUCGCGGGCGAAUAUUUACUCUUUCAAUAUCUAUUUCAGUUGUAGGGUUAGUUCAUGACCUCUACGAAUAAAAGAAUAGUUUAGUUCCUGGGUUCGUUUCGCCAUCCCACCCAAUAAUCAUUAAGAUUCAUUUCCAAUAGAAUCUUCUUUUUCUUUAUUCACGGGUUCCGUCGUUUCCCAUUGCUUCUCGAUUAAUGGUUAGGUCUGAAUUCUCCAACGGAGCCCUUAAUGAAAUUUUUUUCUUAAGUCAAUUUUUCUCAGUUUUUAUUGGCUCGGGGCUCUUGAUUUUUUUUGUUCUAUGAGCGGAUUCAUCUAGUUAGGGAUGAAUCAUUAUUGAUGCUAUAUUACACUGUUUUUUAUGAGAUGACUUACAGACCUUACAUAUUGGAAUCUUAUAUCAUUGAUAUUUUCUUUCUCUCUUUCUCUCAUCCUUCCAUUUAUCCGCAUGCUUUUCGAUUUUCUUUCACAACUUCGAACUUCACAACCUACAAUCAGAUUGGGUUUUUAUGUUAUGCAAAUUUCAGUUGCUACAACGAUAUGACCACUAUAUUAUAUCUUGACUGGUUCUUUGGAUUCAGAUAAUACGAAGCAAUGAGUUGGUUAUUAGUGCUAUAGUUAUUAGUUCAUACUACAGGACGGUCCAUUUUUUGGAAUCCUAGCCCUAAAAAAAACCAACGAGUCGCACACUAAGCAUAGCAAUUAUAUAAAAAAAAAAAAAAUCAAUCGAAUUUUUAUUCAACCCUAUAGAUUGCGGAAUUUCUCAUUUUUUGUUUUGAUUGAAGAUAAAAAGAGCUCGUUCUUUGUUUGGUUUAUUUCCAUUAAUGGGGGGCUCUAAAGACCCGUAAACUCUUAUUUUUUUCGUCUACAAAUAUCCAAAUUUUGAUUCCCAAUACCCCGUAGAUAGUUCGAACCGUAUAGGAACAAUAAUCAAUUUUAGCUCCAAUGGUUUGUAGAGGAACUCUACCUUCUCUGAUCCAUUCGGCGCGCGCAAUUUCUUUUCCGUCAAGACGCCCUGCAAUUUGUACUUGAAUUCCUUUUGUAUCGGCCUGUUCCGUUAAUUCAAUAGCAUUUAUUCAUUAUUAAAGCCGAAUAGCUAUGGUCCUACUGCGAAAAGAUUAAAACCUCGAGCCGAGGGCGAGUUAUCUGAUCAAAAACCCACUUGUCAUAUAACUAUUGUUUAAAAGAAUAUAUCCUUAGCUGAAUAUGAAUAUAGAGACUAUCUCGAUCUCGAGUGCUCAAAAAACACUAGAUUAAUAAAUAAAAAAAAAAAAAAAAAAACUAUGACAUGUCAUGAUACAUAUAGGAAUGGGGGAUUAUGGGACAAAAAAUAAAUCCACUAGGUUUCCGGCUUGGUACAACACAAAGUCAUCAUUCUCUUGUUUGCAAAACCAAAAAACUAUUGCGAGGGUCUACAAGAAGAUCAAAAAAUACGAAACUUAUUAAGAAUUAUAUAAAAAAAAAUAUCAGAAUAUCUUCCGGUGUUGAGGGAAUUGCACGGAUAGAGAUUCAAAAAGAAUUGAUCUAAUUCAAGUUAUAAUCUAUAUAGGGUUCCCAAAAUUAUUACUAGAAAAUAGACCGCGAAGAAUUGAAAGAAUUACAGAUGAAUGUACAAAAAGAACUUAAUUGUGUGAAUCGAAAAAUAAACAUUGCUAUUACACGAAUUACAAAUCCUUAUGGACAACCCCAAUAUUCUUGCCGAAUUUAUAGCCGGACAAUUAAAAAAUAGAGUUUCUUUUCGAAAGCAAUGAAAAAAGCUAUUGAAUUAACGGAACAGGCCGAUACAAAAGGAAUUCAAGUACAAAUUGCAGGGCGUCUUUGACGGAAAAGAAAUUGCGCGCGCCGAAUGGACAGAGAAGGUAGAGUUCCUCUACAAACCAUUGGAGCUAAAAUUGAUUAUUGUUCCUAUACGGUUCGAACUAUCUACGGGUAUUGGGAAUCAAAAUUUGGAUAUUUGUAGACGAAAAAAAUAAGAGUUUACGCGUCUUUAGAGCCCCCCCAUUAAUGGAAAUAAACCAAACAAAGAACGAGCUCUUUUUAUCUUCAAUCAAAACAAAAAUGAGAAAUUCCGCAAUUCUAUAGGGUUGAAUAAAAAUUCGAUUGAUUUUUUUUUUUUUUAUAUAAUUGCUAUGCUUAGUGUGCGACUCGUUGGUUUUUUUUAGGGCUAGGAUUCCAAAAAAUGGACCGUCCUGUAGUAUGAACUAAUAACUAUAGCACUAAUAACCAACUCAUUGCUUCGUAUUAUCUGAAUCCAAAGAACCAGUCAAGAUAUAAUAUAGUGGUCAUAUCGUUGUAGCAACUGAAAUUUGCAUAACAUAAAAACCCAAUCUGAUUGUAGGUUGUGAAGUUCGAAGUUGUGAAAGAAAAUCGAAAAGCAUGCGGAUAAAUGGAAGGAUGAGAGAAAGAGAGAAAGAAAAUAUCAAUGAUAUAAGAUUCCAAUAUGUAAGGUCUGUAAGUCAUCUCAUAAAAAACAGUGUAAUAUAGCAUCAAUAAUGAUUCAUCCCUAACUAGAUGAAUCCGCUCAUAGAACAAAAAAAAUCAAGAGCCCCGAGCCAAUAAAAACUGAGAAAAUUGACUUAAGAAAAAAUUUCAUUAAGGGCUCCGUUGGAGAAUUCAGACCUAACCAUUAAUCGAGAAGCAAUGGGAACGACGGAACCGUGAAUAAAGAAAAAGAAGAUUCUAUUGGAAAUGAAUCUUAAUGAUUUAUUGGGUGGAUGGCGAAACGAACCCAGGAACUAAACUAUUCUUUUAUUCGUAGAGGUCAUGAACUAACCCUACAACUGAAUAGAUAUUGAAAGAGUAAAUAUUCGCCCGCGAAAGGUUUAUUUUUUGAUUUUAUUGGAUUGAUUCAUUUUGCUCGAUCCGAUAUGGUAAAGGGCAAAACAAAAUAAAGAUUUGUUAUAACGAUAAAAAAAAAAAAAAAGACAUUGAGAUUAUCUAUAAAUAGAACAUAAAUGUUUCAAUUCUAUAUCUAAACAUGAUAUACAAAUUUAGAAUAGAUUAAUUAGAUGAACUUUCAAAAAAUCCUAUGCUUCAGUAUAUUAUUCAUUAAAUUCCCCUAUAUCUUGAUAAAAUCGUUUUUAGUCCUUUCAUUCGCGAGGAGCUGGAUGAGAAGAAACUCUCAUGUCCAGUUCUGUAGUAGAGAUGGCAUUGAGAAAGAACCAUCAAUUAUAACCCCAAAAGAACAAGAUUCCGUAAACAACAUAGAGGAAGAAUGAAAGGGAUAUCUUAUCGAGGUAAUCAUAUUUGUUUCGGCAGAUAUGCUCUUCAAGCACUUGAACCCGCUUGGAUCACAUCUAGACAAAUCGAAGCGGGGCGCCGCGCAAUGACACGAAAUGUACGGCGCGGUGGAAAAAUAUGGGUACGUAUCUUUCCAGACAAACCCGUUACACUAAGACCCACGGAAACCCGUAUGGGGUCCGGUAAAGGAUCCCCGAAUAUUGGGUAGCCGUCGUUAAACCGGGUAGAAUACUUUAUGAAAUGAGUGGAGUAGCUGAAAAUAUAGCUCGAAAGGCUAUUUCAAUAGCGGCGUCCAAAAUGCCUAUAAGAACUCAAUUCAUUAUUUCGGGAUAGGAAUGUCGAAACAAAGGAAAUAAAUCUUGGGUAUAAAAAAUGCGGGUCUUCCCUUUUUUUUUUUACUUCGUCCUUUCAGUGCUUUACUUUAAAUUAAACAUUAAAAAACGGACUCAAAAAACGAUAUGAUUCAACCUCAAACCCAUUUGAAUGUAGCAGACAAUAGCGGUGCCCGAGAAUUGAUGUGUAUUCGAAUCAUAGGAGCCAGUAAUCGUAGAUAUGCUCAUAUGGUGACGUUAUUGUUGCUGUGAUCAAGGAAGCAGUACCCAAUACGCCUCUAGAAAGAUCAGAAGUGAUCAGAGCUGUAAUUGUACGUACUUGUAAAGAACUCAGACGUGAUAACGGUAUGAUAAUACGGUACGAUGACAAUGCUGCAGUUGUCAUUGAUCACGAAGGAAAUCCAAAGGGAACUCGAGUUUUUGGUGCGAUCGCCCGGGAAUUGAGACAGUUGAAUUUUACUAAAAUAGUUUCAUUAGCACCUGAAGUAUUAUAAGAGGGGACCGCGAUAUAGUGAUAGUAUGAAAAUAAAAUAGAUAAAUCAAAAUUUAGUAGAGUAUGUCUCACGCAUAUACUUUUAAUAAUUUUCAUAAAAAAAAGAACAUGUUGAUUAUAUCAAAAUUUGGAAGCAACAAAAUUUUCAGUUUAUCAUGGGCAAGGACACUAUUGCUGACAUAAUAACUUCUAUACGAAAUGCUGACAUGAAUAGAAAGGGAACGGUUCGAAUAGCAUCUACUAACAUCACCGAAAACGUUGUUAAAAUCCUUUUGCGAGAGGUUUUAUCGAAAACGCAAGGAAACUCGUGGAAAACAAAAACAAAAAAGAGUUUUUUGGUUUUAACCCUACGACAUCGAAGGAAUAGGAAAGGCCGUAUAGACCCAUUUUAAAUUUAAAACGAAUCAGUCGACCCGGUCUACGAAUCUAUUUUAACUAUCGACGAAUUCCUAGAAUUUUAGAUGGGAUGGGGAUUGUAAUUCUCUCUACUUCUCGGGGUAUAAUGACAGACCGAGCGGCUCGACUGGAAAGAAUCGGUGGAGAAAUUUUGUGUUAUAUAUGGUAAUUAUUCUGCUAUCCGAAUUGUAUUUGGAGCUUACUUUUAUGUUGUGAGAAAAAAAAAGGAGGAUUCCUCGAGGUUUAAUUACCGAAUAACUUACCAAAGGUAUGCUCCGGGUUCUUUAGAUAGUUUAGAGAGCGAAGUAAGAUUCUAGAUUAUGUUUCAGGAGGGAUGCGACCCGUUUUUCUACAUCUACUCCCGGUGGCUAGAGGCAAAAUUGAAGGAAGUCGUUAUGAUUCAGAUUCAACUGGAGGAUAUAAUAAUAAUAUAUAGACUACACAAAAGGAUUUGAGUGAUUAGGUGAUUUUCAACAUUCCUUUCAGGGGGAUACAAAUCGCGGUUCAAAAAUUUCAAGAAACUUAUUUUCUUCCAACUUCCAAUAAGGAGAUUCGAAAUUCAUUUAAGGAAUAACAAUUAUGAAAAUAAGGGCUUCAGUUCGUAAAAUUUGUGAAAAAUGUCGACUGAUCCGCAGGAGGGACGGAUUAUAGUAAUUUGUUCCAACCCGAGACAUAAACAAAGACAAGGAUAAUCUUUCGAAAAGUUUAGAAAGUAACCGAUGAACAAAUCAACAUAAAAGAUCGGUUUUGACAUGAAAUGGAUAUAUCCAUAUAUCUCUGACUUAUAUUUAUGAAAUGAUCAAAUAUGGCAAAAUCUCCACCACGAAGUGGUUCACGUAGGCCGGGACGGAUCGGUUCACGUAAAAGUGGACGUCGAAUACCAAAGGGCGUUAUUCAUGUUCAAGCAAGUUUCAACAACACCAUUGUGACUGUUACAGAUGUCCGGGUCGGGUAAUUUCUUGGUCCUCGGCCGGUACUUGUGGAUUCAGGGGUACAAGAAGAGGUACGCCUUUUGCUGCUCAAACCGCAGCAGGAAAUGCUAUUCGAGCAGUAGCGGAUCAAGGUAUGCAACGAGCAGAAGUCAUGAUAAAGGGUCCUGGUCUCGGAAGAGAUGCGGCAUUACGAGCUAUUCGUAGAAGCGGUAUCCUUUUAAAUUUCGUACGGGAUGUAACCCCUAUGCCACACAAUGGUUGCAGACCCCCUAAAAAAAGACGGGUGUAGAAAUAAACAUUGAAGAGAUUUCAAGAGAAAUAAAUGACUCAAUGAUCUGACAAAUAAUAUUACUAUGGUUCGAGAGAAAGUAAAAGUAUCUACUCGGACACUACAGUGGAAGUGUGUUGAAUCAAGAGCAGACAGUAAGCGUCUUUAUUAUGGGCGCUUUAUUUUGUCUCCACUUAUGAAAGGUCAAGCCGACACAAUAGGCAUUGCGAUGCGAAGAGUUUUGCUUGGAGAAAUAGAAGGAACAUGUAUUACACGCGCAAAAUCUGAAAAAAUUCCACACGAAUAUUCUACCAUAGUGGGUAUUCAAGAAUCGGUACAUGAAAUUUUAAUGAAUUUGAAAGAUAUUGUAUUGAGAAGUAAUCUUUAUGGAACUUGUGACGCGCUUAUUUGUGUCAAAGGCCCGGGAUAUGUAACUGCUCAAGACAUCCUCUUGCCGCCUUCUGUGGAAAUCGUUGAUAAUACGCAGCACAUAGCUAGCCUAACAGAACCAAUUGAUUUGUCUAUUGGAUUACAAAUCGAGAGGAGUCGAGGAUAUAAUAUAAAAACGCCAAAUACCUUUCAAGACGGAAAUUGUUAUCCUAUCGAUGCUGUAUUCAUGCCUGUUCGAAAUGCGAAUCAUAGUAUUCAGUCUUAUGGAAUGGCAAUGAAAAACAAGAGAUCCUUUUUCUAGAAAUAUGGACAAACGGAAGUUUAACUCCUAAAGAAGCACUUCAUGAAGCCUCCCGGAGUUUGAUUGAUUUAUUUAUUCCCUUUCUCCAGGCAGAAGACGAAAACUUACCUUUAGAGAACAAUCAAUACAAGGUUACUUUACCCUUUUUUACUUUUCAUGAUAGAUUGGCUAAACUAACGAAAAAGAAAAAAGAAAUCGCAUUGAAAUCGAUUUUUAUUGACCAAUCAGAAAUGUCUCCCAGGAUCUAUAAUUGUCUCAAAAAGUCCAAUAUACAUACAUUAUUCGACCUUUGAAUACGCGUCAAGAAGACCUUAUGAAAAUUGAACACUUUCGCAUAGAGGAUGUAAAGCAGAUAAUGAGUAUUCUAGAAAAGAAAUAGAAAAGCAUUUCACAAUUGAUUUACCGAAAAAAAAAAAAAACGAGAAAAUUGAAAUGGCUUUGCACCUUUAGACCCGUCUAUAUAUUCAGACCGGAAUUAAAUUGAAUAGAAGUAUCUAGGGAGAAUUCACUUUUACUUUGAAGUGACUACUCCCUAGAUACACACGUCAUGAUAUUUUACAAUUGAAUCAAUUUAAA